GCGAGCGUGGCGAAAUCAGGCAGACGCGCCGGGUUUAGGUCCCGGUCCCCGCAAGGGGGUGAGGGUUCAAAUCCCUCCGCUCGCAC
rnacentral:tRNA from 1 species